CCUACGGGAGGCUGCAGUGAGGAAUAUUGGGCAAUGGGCGCAAGCCUGAACCAGCCACGCCGCGUGAAGGAAGAAGGCCCUCGGGUGGUAAACUUCUUUUAUUCGGGACGAAACACAUGACGGUACCGCAUGCCUAAGCCACGGCUAAAUACGUGCCAGAAUCAGCGGUAGUCCGUAGGUGGCGACCGUUAGCCGGAUUUACUGGGUGUAAGGGGCGUGUAGGCGGGAGAGCAAGUCAGACGUGAAAUUCCACGGCGCAACCGUGGAACUGCGUUUGAAACUGUUCUUCUGGAGUGAGGGAGAGGAAGGCGGAAUGCGGGGUGUAGCGGUGAAAUGCGUAGAUAUACGGAGGAACACCAGUUGCGAAGGCGGCCCGCUGGACAGUAACUGACGCUGAGGCGCGAAAGCGUGGGGAGCAAACAGGAUUAGAUACCCUUGUAGUC
rnacentral:rRNA from 1 species